UACGAACCGUGCGAACGUUAUUCGGAAUCACUGGGCUUAAAGCGCGUGUAGGCGGGUCGGCACGUCGGUCGCUGAAAGCCCACGGCUCAACCGUGGAGGGUCAUUGGAAACUGGGGAACUUGAGUGCAGAAGAGGAGAGCGGAAUUCCACGUGUAGCGGUGAAAUGCGUAGAGAUGUGGAGGAACACCAGUGGCGAAGGCGGCUCUCUGGACUGUAACUGACGCUGAGGCGCGAAAGCGUGGGGAGCAAACAGG
rnacentral:rRNA from 1 species